CAAUAGUGUGGAGUGGACACGGUGUCUUGGCAGGACAAAGCUUGUACUUGGAGUCAUUCCUCUAGCUUGUCUGGGGAGCUGGAGCAAGGUGAUAUGUGAGCAGCAAGUGAUGGCUGUGGUAAUUGUCAAAGAGGUAAUUAAAGCUACAACACAGCCUAGGUUCUGGUUAAGCUCACAGUGGCAGUGGUGUUUGGUGAAAGGCCAGUGAAAGAGCAUUGCCAUCCUGGCUGUGCCUAACAGCACUGAAAGUACUGGAGUCUUCAAUAAGGUCCUGAAGUGCUCUACCUCCAGUACAGCUCCUUCUAUCUGCAUUCCAUCAGAGGGUUGUUGAAAGCAGAUUCCCAUUUACAUCCUGAGCGUGGGCUCAGAGGCAUAUCACCCCCAGACUGUCACCUGCUGUCUGCUGCUGGCCUUGGCAGUGGGGCACAGCCCCUGGCCCUGUCUGCAGUGGACCUUGGGGACCAUGGGAAGCUGCUGGCUUUGCAUCCAGAGCCCCCAUCGAAAUCCUCUCAAUCUGAGACUGUUACUUUGUGCUACGCUGGAGCCUGCAACCCUGUCCUGCAUCCUGCUGCUGAGGGGCUGUAUGUGUACUUGUAGACCUGCACAGGGAUGAAGUCAGAUGUGAUGGCAAUCACCAAUCCAUUCCCGAUGACAGCCAGGAUGCCAAUGGCUUCCAGGACCUGCAGCCAAAUUCCUGCAGGAGAGGAGAAGUCAAGAGCACAUCCCAGCAAAGGAAUGCUCAAGACUCCUUCAGACUGGAAGGGACUUAACACCAGCACUGUUUGCACAAGCAGCAGUUCUCAUGGGCCCCA